rnacentral:rRNA from 1 species
UACGAAGGUCCCAAGCGUUGUUCGGAAUCACUGGGCGUAAAGGGAGCGUAGGCGGCGUGGUAAGUCAGAUGUGAAAUCCCGGGGCUCAACCCCGGAACUGCAUCCGAUACUGCCAUGCUAGAGGAUUGGAGAGGUAGCUGGAAUUCUUGGUGUAGCAGUGAAAUGCGUAGAGAUCAAGAGGAACACCCGUGGCGAAAGCGAGCUACUGGACAAUUCCUGACGCUGAGGCUCGAAGGCGAGGGUAGCGAAAGGG